rnacentral:lncRNA from 1 species
UAAACCAAAGCAGUCUACGAUUGCCGGGUUUUUUAGGAAUGGAAUUUAUAGGAAGAUUAGCGGAACCGCCAGGAAUCAGUACUGCGUCGACUGCUAUGUGCUAAAGACUGCGGAAUAAGAGCUCUUAGUCCUUUCGGCACGGCAUAAAAUAAAGGCUGUUCUUGUUGCGGGUUUAUCAGAGCUUGAGAAUCUAGCUAGGGCUAUUUGAACUAAUAAGGAAAAGUAGGCAUGCUAAGUACAUUUUGAUGGCAUUGAAACAUAAAAUAAAGGCUGUUCUUGUUGCGUGUUUAUCAGAGCUUGAGAAUCUAGCUAGGGCUAUUUGAACUAAUAAGGAAAAGU